GCUGGGUGUGGUGGCACACGCCUGUAGUCCCAGCUACUCAGGAGGCUGAGGUGGGAGGAUCACUUGAGCUCAGGAAGUCAAGGCUGCAGUGAGCUGUGAUUGUGCCACUGCACCCUAGUCUGGGUGACAGAGUGAGACCCUGUCUCAC
rnacentral:SRP_RNA from 1 species